rnacentral:ncRNA from 14 species
GAUAGCUCAACGGUAGAGCGUGGGACUGUAGUUUGUUAUGUUAUCCCUUGGUUGUUGGUUCGAAUCCAGCU